ACAUUUUUACGUCACGGAGGCAGAAGAUCGAACUGCAGGAUGGAUUUAGCAGAGGCAUGCAUUGGCUGCUUGACAUAUCCCUGGAAGAGGACACCAACUAGCUAACACAGUCAAUGACAGAUGUCUCUUUGAAUUGAUAAAAUCAUAAUCAAAUGGAUAUAAUACUGAAGUUUCAAAGAUCUGUUUUGAUGUAGCCUGAAGAUUUUGUAAUGAAUGAUCCAGGAUCCAAAAGUUCUUCGCGGAGUUCAAAGACAGUUGCAAUGUGGUUGCUAAUUUAGUGACAGAUUAAGAAAGAAGUUCAAACAAGCAUUGUCAUGGGAAAACAUUAAAAAGGAAGAAGUUGGAGGUGGACAAAAAUCAGGAUGAAUAUACAUGUACUGGAGAAACUAUUAAAGCACAGAAUAAUGACAACAAUAUAAUUCUAAAUGUAAUCAUUCAAGGAAUUAAAUUCAUUUUUAAUCUCG
rnacentral:sRNA from 1 species